AAUGAACGCUGGCGGCGUGCCUAAUACAUGCAAGUCGAGCGAACCACUUCGGUGGUGAGCGGCGAACGGGUGAGUAACACGUAGGUUAUCUGCCCAUCAGACGGGGACAACGAUUGGAAACGAUCGCUAAUACCGGAUAGGACGAAAGUUUAAAGGUGCUUCGGCACCACUGAUGGAUGAGCCUGCGGCGCAUUAGCUAGUUGGUAGGGUAAAGGCCUACCAAGGCGACGAUGCGUAGCCGACCUGAGAGGGUGAACGGCCACACUGGGACUGAGACAAGGCCCAGACUCCGACGGGAGGCAGCAGUAGGGAAUCUUCGGCAAUGGGCGAAAGCCUGACCGAGCAACGCCGCGUGAAUGAUGAAGGCCUUCGGGUUGUAAAAUUCUGUUAUAAGGGAAGAAUGGCUCUAGUAGGAAAUGGCUAGAGUGUGACGGUACCUUAUGAGAAAGCCACGGCUAACUACGUGCCAGCCGCCGCGGUAAGAC
rnacentral:rRNA from 1 species